rnacentral:lncRNA from 1 species
ACUGACCUUAGGGUCCCCUGGACGUAGCCUAUACAUUGUAGGUAAACCAUGUAAUUCUUUGUCUUCUUUAUUUUUCAUUUACAUUUGUGGGAAAUAUUUCCGCUAUUUUUCCCAACAAUUUUAAGUGGCCUUUCCGAGUGGAAAGUUUGACAAGCCUUCGAACUCUAAACUUUGUUAAGAUUGAUGAUUGUAUAGAAUUUAAUUCAUUAGAUUUAAUCAAUCUCUGCGAGCUCUAUGUGGUUUUUACAGAAAGGAACAGAUAUUCACGCUAGACUCUAUUGGUAGACUGGAAACUUUGGAUCUAUGGGUAGACUCUAAUUCUUUUCCACAACUGCAGCCACUUUUUCUCUGCCAAAGGCUCCUCCAAUUGAAGGAAGUUGGUGAAAUAAGGAAGCUACCAGCAAAUAUUGAUGAAAAUUGAAAUCCUAUCAAGACUUAAAUACCUCAGCAUAGAUGCAAAGGCUAUUCAGGAUGAUCCACUGCUAAUGUUGGGGAAGCUUUCAAAGUUGACAAUCUUGACUUGUGCAACUAUGGGGAAAAUAAGUUGGUUUGCACUGCAGGAGAAUUUCCGAAGCUCGAAAUUCUUCAACUUAUUGAUUGUAAACUGCAGGUGUUACAAGUGGAUGAAGGAGGAAUGUACGUGCUUAAGGGUUUAAAUGUUCCCGAUUAUGUUAGGAUCCCAAGCUCCGUCCCUGCUCCCAAAAAUUGGGGGUUCAUAACUUUUGGUGAGUGCCCUUUCUAACCAAAAAGAAUCAGGUUACUGGGAAGUAAAAGCUGCAGGUUAAUUUUCUUAACCUUUCCAUUUCUUUCGUAGUUGGGUUUUCGCUAAU